UGUUCUUUGCUGGGGCAGAUAAGAAAUCUCAGUUGUAAGGCUGCCCAAGCCCUCUAUCACUUCCAGUCAUAGAUUUUCUUCCAGGAAUCACUUUGAGGGCACAAUCCUUGACAGAAAUGAAAUAGAGACUCUGGCAGGAGACUGGACAGGAAAUCAAACCCACGUUACAGACAGAUAGAUGCUCAGUAUCUUCAAGCUGAACAGCACACGCGAAGACCUCCUCUGCGAGUCACAGCGGGGACAGUAAGGCUGGCAUCUGCAAACCUAAUACGUGGCUGCUGCCAGCAGAACCUUCUUAUUUGAACACUAAUUCAAGCAGAUUAAAUGAAAAUCUCUCUGCCGUCUUCAGAUGCCAGACUGCUUCUCUGAGAAAAUGAAUUUCAGUUGCUGCUUCAGCAAGAAUUGAGGGAGCGCUUUUGAAUUCAUUCCUGAAACGACCAGGAUCUGAGGUCAGCUCUGCAUUGCUUAGUGUUUUUUGUGUUUUUUUCCCCUCCUUCUUUUCAAGGAUUGGACAGUGUUAGAGCAUCUGCUGUAUGGUGCUGCUUUGUAAUUAAACAGUCACCUAGACUCCCUUUGCAUUCAACUGGGUGAUGUAUUUGAGCAUCUGUGUCAUAUUGUUACCGUAUUUGCCGGCGUAUAAGAUGAUUUUUUGGCCCUGAAAAAUAUGCCUCCAA